UAGAGAAGAAAGAAUCAUGGAAAUGGCGAUGAUGAUCUUUUAGGUAUUGAUACCAAGCCGUAUACUUUCAACUAUUCUGAGUUAAAGAAUGCUACAAAUGACUUCAAUCCUAGCAAAAAGCUGGGAGAGGGAGGUUUUGGACCUGUAUAUAAGGGAACACUUAAUGAUGGAAGAGUAAUUGCUGUGAAAAGACUAUCUGUAAAAUCUCAUCAAGGAAACAAUCAGUUCAAAGCAGAGAUUGCUACUAUAUCAGCUGUGCAACAUCGUAAUCUUGUCACAUUAUAUGGAUGUUGUAUUAAAGGAAAUAAAAGACUACUUGUCUAUCAGUGUCUAGAAAACGGGAGUCUUGAUAACGCCUUAUUUAG